UACGGAGGAGGCAAGCGUUAUCCGGAAUUAUUGGGCGUAAAGCGUCCGCAGGUGGCUUCUCAAGUCUGCUGUCAAAGGCUGGGGCUUAACUCCAGAAAGGCAGUGGAAACUGAGAAGCUAGAGUGCAGUAGGGGCAGAGGGAAUUCCCAGUGUAGCGGUGAAAUGCGUAGAGAUUGGGAAGAACACCCGUGGCGAAAGCGCUCUGCUGGACUGCAACUGACACUCAGGGACGAAAGCUAGGGGAGCGAAUGGG
rnacentral:rRNA from 1 species